AUAUUAUAUUAUUAUAUAAUAUAUAAUAUCAUAUAAAUAGUAUAGUAUAAAAUAAUAUUUAUAUAAUAAUGGGUAUUAUAAAAAAUAUACAUAGAUUUUAGCAACUUAUUCGAGAAAAUAGUAAUAUAAAAGAACAUGGAUAAUUUUUUUUCUAUCUAAAUAUUGUCUAAAAAUAUUUAUCCACAAAGUUACAGAUAUUCAAUCAAUUUUUUAUCCUCCAA
rnacentral:lncRNA from 1 species